rnacentral:rRNA from 1 species
GACGAACGCUGGCGGCGUGCUUAACACAUGCAAGUCGAACGAUGAAGAAAAGAAUUGAAGCUUCGGCAGAGAUUCAUUUCGGAUUAGUGGCAGACGGGUGAGUAACGCGUGAGCAACCUACCUCUUACAAAGGGAUAGCCUCGGGAAACCGGGAUUAAUACCAUAUAACAUUGCGACGAAGCAUUUCGAUGCAAUCAAAGCUACGGCGGUGAGAGAUGGGCUCGCGUCCCAUUAACCAGAUGGUGAGGUAACGGCUCACCAUAGUAACGAUGGGUAACCGGCCUGAGAGGGUGAACGGUCACACUGGAACUGAGACACGGUCCAGACUCCUACGGGAGGCAGCAGUGGGGAAUAUUGCACAAUGGAGGGAACUCUGAUGCAGCGACGCCGCGUGAGUGAUGAAGGAAUUCGUUUCGUAAAACUCUGUUCUAUGGGAAGAAAAGGACUGUACCAUAGGAGAAAGCUCCGGCUAAAUACGUGCCAGCAGCCGCGGUAAUACGUAUGGAGCGAGCGUUGUCCGGAAUUAUUGGGCGUAAAGGGUGCGCAGGCGGCUUUACAAGUUGGAUGUGAAAUAUUGUGGCUCAACCAUAAACGUGCAUCCAAAACUGCAAAGCUUGAGUUAAGGAGAGGUAAGUGGAAUUCCUGGUGUAGCGGUGGAAUGCGUAGAUAUCAGGAGGAAUACCGGUGGCGAAGGCGACUUACUGGACUUAAACUGACGCUCAGGCACGAAAGCGUGGGGAGCAAACAGG